CUGGACUUGGUAGGUUUAGUUUUUACAGUCACCGUAAUGAUAAUCCAGCUUGGUCCUUUUAUUUUUACAGUCACCGUAAUGAUAAUCCAGCUUGGUGUUCUGUCCA